rnacentral:rRNA from 1 species
UAGGGAAUCUUCCACAAUGGACGCAAGUCUGAUGGAGCAACGCCGCGUGAGUGAAGAAGGGUGUCGGCUCGUAAAGCUCUGUUGUUAAAGAAGAACGUGGGUAAGAGUAACUGUUUACCCAGUGACGGUAUUUAACCAGAAAGCCACGGCUAAAUACGUGCAG